GAGCUUCACACGCCGCCGGCAACGAAUCCAGGGAAGGAAAAGAUGCCGUCCCACAUUAUCCACAGCA
rnacentral:sRNA from 1 species